rnacentral:tRNA from 1 species
AUUUAAAUAKCUUAUAUUUAGAGCAUGACACUGAAGAUGUUAGGGAGAUUGUAAUAAUCUUUAGAUA